UGUUCCUACGGGAGGCAGCAGUGGGGAAUAUUGGGCAAUGGGCGCAAGCCUGACCCAGCAACGCCGCGUGAAGGAAGAAGGCUUUCGGGUUGUAAACUUCUUUUCUUAGGGACGAAGAAAGUGACGGUACCUAAGGAAUAAGCCACGGCUAACUACGUGCCAGCAGCCGCGGUAAUACGUAGGUGGCAAGCGUUAUCCGGAUUUACUGGGUGUAAAGGGCGUGUAGGCGGGACUGCAAGUCAGAUGUGAAAACCAUGGGCUCAACCUGUGGCCUGCAUUUGAAACUGUAGU
rnacentral:rRNA from 1 species